ACGUGCAGCUCCACCCCUCAAAGAGUUCCAUUAUUCCUGCUGAUGACCGGCAGUCGGUGAGUGGGUCUCCCUUACAAUAACUGCAGCUCUCUUUGAAAGAGCUUUUCUUUUUUGGAUUUUGAAAACAGGGUUCCUGAAACUCUGUAGACCAGGUUGUCCCCAAACUCACAGAGAUCUAGCUGCCUGUCCCUCAGUCCUAGGAUUAAAGGUGUGUGCUACCACUUCUGGCUGAAGAGGCUUUUCUUUAAGGCUAAGUUUAAGUUUUAGCCUAACUUGUCAGUAAUAAAGUGAGACGUCUGGAACCACUGGAUUCCUGUGUUUUGAUAUCAUGUGAUUCUAGGUUUUCUGUUUUGGUUACUUCUCAUGUUCAAGUGCACGUCUGAAUGACCUGUGGAGCUCUAAAACCUUUGAGCAGUCAUAGAGACUACGGCAACAGACACAGACCUGCACAGAUUCAGCCCAAACAGGGUCCUUAGCACUGACAAUAGAAGUAGGCGCAGGUGACCCAGUCCCCAACAAAGAACCUGUCUGCAAUUAGAUACCUGCUGGCAAAGAGGAAGUCAACGUCAUCCCUAACUCACCUGCCAGGAGUAGUUAGCCAACACAAAAACUCAAGGCCUGAAACACUCUGUAAACCAUGUUGGCUUUGAACACAAAGAGAUUUGCCUGCCUUUGCCUACUAAGUGCUGGAAUUAAAAAAGUGUAUCAGUA